GAAGCUGUGGCUCAGCUGGUAGAGUGCUUGCCUAGCAUGCACCAGGCCCUGGGUUCCAUCCCCAGCACCGCCU
rnacentral:tRNA from 1 species